AUUGAACGCUGGCGGCAGGCCUAAAACAUGCAAGUCGAACGAGUGGCGGACGGGUGAGUAAUGUCUGGGAAACUGCCUGAUGGAGGGGGAUAACUACUGGAAAAGGUAGCUAAUACCGCAUACCAUCGGAUGUUCACAGAUGGGAUUAGCUAGUAGGUGGGGUAACGGCGCACCUAGGCGCAGAUCCCUAGCUGUUCUUAAAGUAUGACCAGCCACACUGGAACUGAGACACGGUCCAGACUCCUACGUGAGGUAGCAGUGGGGAAUAUUGCACAAUGGGCGCAAGCCUGAUGCAGCCAUGCCGCGUGUAUGAAGAAGGCCUUCGGGUUGUAAAGUACUUUCAGCGGGGAGGCGUUACCCGCAGAAGAAGCCCCGGCUAACUCCGUGCCAGCAGCCGCGGUAAUUC
rnacentral:rRNA from 1 species